GGGGGGGGGGGGGCAGUCCAAAUGCAGAGGUUUCGGGAUCCCUGACACCUGCCCUGGCCGCCCUGGGCUUGGGGAGGCGGGCUGUGAGCUCUGGUGGCCUUGGGCCUUGGGGAGAGGAAGGCAGGCAGACUCUCAGAGCGGGGAGCACCACGCCCUCUCCAAACCUCGCUGGGUGGGGAAGCACAAAGCUGCUUCUUUUCCUGCUGGGCCAUAGCUCUGCCCUCCCUGCCAGCCCCUCUCGCCUUCCCUCCCUCCCUGUCUUCCUCCUCGGCCCCAGGCCCCCACUCAGUUCUGUGUUUACAAAAGCCAGUCCUCUCCCCCUCCCUCCCGCUCACCGCCUGGUCCAGUUUCCCCAUCUGGAAGGCUCUGCUCGGAUCUCAGGGCCCGGGCCCUGCUGUCAGCCAGUCAUGACCUUCCAAAGAGAGCAAGCCUCGGCGCAGGGUCACCGAGCCCAGUCCUCAGUCUUCCCCAUCCUGCGUGCUCCGGACGCACGGAGUGCAAGGGGCUGCCCAGCCCAUCCGGAGGGGCUGCGGGAGCAGGACAUGCCAUUUCCACGAGUAGGGCUUCAUCAUGUUUCUGGGCCUUGCUCUGUCCCAAAGUGUCCCCAUCCCUGAGCCUUGGGGGCACUGGAUUGAUCAGAGCCGGGCCUCUGGCUCCUGGAGUGGGCACAGUCCCAGAGCAGGUCAGAAACUGGCCCGUUUGGACAAGCGCUGCUGGAAAUUUCUGGUGCAGAACCCAUGCAGGUGGGGAGAGGGGCUGGCUCAAGGGUGAGACUCCGCUUCACGUCCUCUGGGCUCCUGGCCUCUUCCCAGGCCUGUGGGUCCCCAUUUCCUUCCAGGUCCAACCCUUGGUAUGACCGCAGCCUCCAUCAUCUUACUCUCCUGCAGCCCCUGCCAAUGCGUCUCACCUCCCCCUCCUUCCUCUUUCUCUCCUUGGUGACAGUAGUGACAAUAACAGCCACCAUGCCCCUGCACCUGCUGGGCACCAGGCCGAUGUGGGGGCGGCUCGCCCUUUCCUCAAGCAUACCCUUCACCGUGGAGGCUGUGAACUGCACCCCCAGAAAUCCGGGAGAGGUCCCAAGUACCCACGACAAAGCCCCCAUUUCUUUGGAAUCUCAUAUUUUUACUUAAAGGAAAAUUCAUUCACGAGUCGCAUCCUCCUCCCUACCAGUCGAUGCUCUGCAGUGAAUGCUCUCCAGCCUGAGUCUCUGCUCGCCCCUCCCCGGGCCUCUGGAUCCCAACCUCGUGCUGUCGGCUGCUGGUGACGGCUCAUGGCACUGACGACGGUUAGGGUGACUACAUGACAGCACACUCAUCUGGCGGGCGGGCAGCAGAGCCAGACUCAAAGCCCGGUCUUGGCUGGUGUAGGGCAGGGCGGGGACCCAGCUGCCCAGACAAAGGCCCAUUUACCAGGGCAGGAGGACGCCAGCCGCAGGCCUGCCAGGCCCGAGGGGACCCACCCACAGCAUCACAAUGGGCAGCUUGUGCCCUGGGCAUCCGAUCCUCCCAGGCUACCCUGGGCCUGGCACCAUAGACAAGGUUAUUGCGAGUUGGGGUUUUGUUUUCUGCAACCCCGCAAGUCCUGGAGCUCCCUACCUGGAGCUUCCCCCUUGACAUCACCUGAAGCAGAACCACGUGGAGGACGCUGGGCCCAGAGGUCACUGUAAAGCAGCUCCAUGGAGCUCCCGGCCGUAUCGCCAGUGCCCAGAGGGUCAGGGACCACACAAGGGACGUGAGCAAAGCUGUCAGUGCCCGGGGACUCUGGAUGGAUGGCGCCUCACACCCGGGAAGCAGAGGGCACACGGGUUAAGCCAGCACCCUCCUUAGAGCCGGCCCGGCAGGCCCAGGCACACAUGCUGGCCCCGGGCGGCCUUGCCUCCCUCUGGCGGUCCGGCCUUGCAGGCGCGAUUCCACCCACGCAGAAGUCCUCCUCUCUACGCACCUGCGACUCGAGGCCCUGAUCUGCCCUGACCCCUCUGGGGGCUGCCGCAGCCUUGCACAGCAACCUGUGGCCGUCCCAAGACGAGUCCCAGGAGCUGGCAACCGCACCGGAAUAUUCCAAAGGCCCAGGAGACUGUCAGAAACUGUGAUGUGUGAUAAAAACCCCCAAAUGUUCCAGGACAGGAAACCGGUUCAACCAUCAGCGUUUCCCGCGCCGACGGCGGCUUCAGACCUAACCGGCUCACAGCCAUGCACCUGCGGGAGCCGUCGAUUGAUCCGACAAGGGGCUGAAACAUGUCUUGGCAAGUGGCAGUUGGCAGAGAUGUGAGCGAAAGGUGGCCAUGCAGGUGAGCCCUCUGACAUCCCCCAGCGUUCCUGCCAACCCCAGAGGUGGCAGGCUACGGAUCCCCUUGAACCAGGGUUAUCCAAGACCUUUGGGGCCAUGGGAUGGACACCCACUCAGGCCUGGCUCAGGGGACUGAGGGGACACAGGCUUUUCUGAAAUCAGGAAAGGCCCAGGCAGACCAGGACAGUUGGCCUCCCAGGCCAGGAGUGGACCCUGGGAAAGUCACUGGAGGUGACCACCUUAGUGUGGCGUUUUGAUGAAGGAGCUUGGACUCUGAGACCCCCCUUUCCUGACUGCCCUCCACCCUGCCCCACCCCAUGGCUGAGGGUGCUGUGUCGAGUCCUGGCUCCAUCCUCCUGCCCCAGGCACUGUGGGCAGUUGGAGAGGGACCCUGAGGAUACCUGGUCCCUGGUGAGCAUCGAGCCUGCCGUCCUUUGUGCUUGCUCCGAACAGCUGAUGAUUCAUCCCCACCGUGAUCUGGGCGUGUGCUCCUCGCGUCCAGCUGGAUGCUAGCGUCUCCACCACACACUCCUUAGACACUGCCCUCCUGGGGGCUGUGAGACUCCAGCAGCGCUGUGGCCUUCCUGACUGGGGACACUCUGCCCCUCCCGGCGCAGCCGCCUCUUGGAGACAGCAUGCCUUGCUGGACACAUCCCUUGUGUGCCAACUGACCAUCUAGCGUCCAUGGCCCUGUCGCCUUCCAUCUGACUCUCACACCGUGCCGGUGUUGCCCCCACCCUGAAUCAGCAACCAGAGAUGACCUCAGCUCCGAGCCGGCUGGAAUUAAAAAGCUGCCCUGCCUUUCCUGCAGAAACUCCAAUAAGGCUCCCACCUUGGGCUUCCCCUCGCUCGCUCCUGCUUCUGCCCCCUGACCCAAACCUGGUGCUCCCCUUGUGGGCCUGCACAGUGUGGCGUGUCCCCUCCUCUCGGGAAAUGUGGACGAUCAGAAAUAGAAGCCCUAGAUGGAAGGGACAUUUUCAGGUGGGGUGUUCGUGUUGACAAUGUCCUCCAGAGUCUGUGUGCGUUUAUGCUGCCACCACGGCCAGUGCUGAGCAUCCUCGGUUACGUGAAGCGUCACCAACUGGACAGGGAGGACGCAGUGUUGUGACCUGCGUCCCUCUGGCUCCUGGUAAAGUUGAACUCUGCUCCUGUGUUCCGUGGUCGCUGACAUUUACUUUCUUGGGAAUUCCCUAGUUCUAGCCUUGGCUUGUCCUUCAAAUUGUGUCACUGAGACUUUCAUUUUCAACUUGGAGAAGUUCUUUGCACCUUAAGGGGAUUGUUAUGAGUUGAUUUAUGUCCCCCAUAUUCUUAUGUUGAUGCCCUAAUGCCCAAUAUCUCAGAACGUGACCUUUUUUUGGAAAUAGAGUCCUUGCCGAUGUAAUCGUUAAGAUAGGUCCUAUGAAGAAGGGUGGGCCCCUAAUCCAAUAGGACUGUGUCCUUAUAGAAAGGCGACAUUUGGGCAAAGACACACACACAGGGAGAAGGCCAUGCGGAGAUGGAGGCAGAGACUGGGGAGUGCUUCUACAAGCCAACGAACGCCAAAGAUUGCCUGCAAAGCAUGUGAAGCCGGGAGAAACGUGGGACAGAUCCUCUCCCAGGCCCUAGAAGGGACCAGCCCUGCCCACCCCCGAUCUCGGGCUUCUGGCCUCCAGACCAAGACAGUCCACUUCUGCUGUUUCAGCCACAGUUUGUGGUCCUUUGUUACGGCAGGCCCAGCAACCGAAUACCAGGAUGAAACCCACGUCUGCAGCGCUUGCCCACACGUUCUCCGGUUCUGCCAUGUGGAGGAGGAAAGGCAUUUCCGGUCCUCUCUCCCCAGGGACCCUGAGGUUCUCAGGGCUGGCCCUGCAUGUCUCAUGUCACGGAGACACUGGGCUGCCUGCUCCACUUUCCUCCUGGAAAGGAGCCCGAGAUGACACGACACAAACAGCCCUCAGUCUCAAUCCCUCCUUCCGUGGCCCCCGCUGCGUUUGUCACCCUAGUGACUGUGGAGAGCCACCUGACGGGGACCUCCAGCUACAAGCAUUUGAUGGUCCCGUCGUUCUCAGAAGUGAAUCUUAGAUAAGAGAUGCAUAUGCCCAGUUCUAGCAAAGAGUCAAAGAUGGAGCUGCUUUUGCCACCAGGUUGGGCUGAUUCCAUGAUGCUGAACAAGGGCCUCAGAACAAGAAGUGGCCGACCCAGCACAGAUGUCUAAACUGAGAAUGGUGUGGGCACAGAGAACGGCACAGUGUGGACACAGGGUGUUCACACCAGUGCAGACCCAGGAGGCCUCAGGGCCUCGAAUGUGCUGGGUCAGAGCCAACGGGCCCAUCCACACGCAUGCCAGUGUUGACAAUGUAGCAAGAUGGACGUGGUUUCUACUCCAUGCUGUGCUGUGUGUCGCCUGCCUCUGCUCUCCUCCCCAUUCCCGCUAUGCACCAUGUUUCCUAGGGGCCAAGGGGCUGCAAGCUCAUGCCACGAGCGCCAGUGCCCAUCGGUGGCUCUGCUCUGGGAGAGCCAGAAGAAUGUAGGGGAAGGAUCCACUCUCCCCGCUUCAAGUUGGCAUCAGCAGCCACCAGGAUCAGGGCAGACGUCCCUGUCCUGCUCAAGGUGGCCCCUCAUCAGUACACCCAGGACCAAUGGCAUCUCAGCUCCAACAGCUGGAGCAGCGCAGGCUCAGCGGGGCCGAGGGCAGCUCCUGCCACCGGGAGUGCCACCUGCCUUUCCCUCCUCCAAGCCCCCAUUCUCCCUCUGCUCCCCCAGCACCCAGGGAGCCAAUUCCUGGUGCUGAAGUCCCCUCUGUGGAACACCAGCUGGAUUUCCUGACAGCACCCUGACUGUGGGCGUACUGUUCUUAGUGAAGCCACAAACCACUGAGUGAAGGAGCUCCUCCGGGCCAGGGGGAGCCAGAGCCGUGUGCCACAGGGUCAUGCCCGAGCACCACCGCCACAUCCUCCUGCAAGUACAGAUGCAAGCGCCAUGCGCCCGCAUCGCCCCUCCGGCCUCGCCCUGCAGAUCCACGUGCCCAUGCGCACCGUGGCAUAUCGCUGUGUCGCAGUGUCAUUUUCAGCAGCAAACUCCCGGAUUCAACCUAAAUAUCUGUGAUUGUUAAGAAUCGCUUUGCAAAGGAGAAGGGACUCUGGCAUUCACUAUUCGCUGAAAAAACAAAAACGCAGGAGGGCACUUGUCACUGCCACCAUCCCUGAAUAAAGGAGGUAAGAUCACAUGAGUGCCUGUUUGCUUGUCGCUGCCUGGGACACAUGCCCAUGAUGGCCAUACUCUCAUCCAGGGGGAGGGGGAAGGAGAGGAAGGAGGGCCUUGCUGAAUUGGUCCCCUGUUGUGCCUGUAGAACUUUGCAGUGUAGACCGAUACACAAAGUGUGCA